UAAUUUAAGGUCUAGCCUGCCCACUGAUAUUUUAAAUGGCCGUGGUAUUUUGACCGUGCUAAGGUAGCAUAAUCAUUAGUUUUUUAAUUAAAAACUGGAAUGAAAGGUUGGAUGAGAAAAUAGCUGUCUCUAUUAAAUUUAAUUAGAAUUUUAUUUUUAAGUUAAAAAGCUUAAUUGUUAUUAAAAGACGAGAAGACCCUAUAGAGUUUAAUUAUUUAAUAAAAAUUAUAUUUUAGUAUUAAUUUAUUUAUUUUAUUGAAUAAUUUAAUUGGGGUGAUUGAAAAAUUUAAUUAACUUUUUUUAUUUAAGAACAUUAAUUUAUGAAUAAAUGAUCCGAUAUUUUUGAUUAUAAGAUAAAAUUACCUUAGGGAUAACAGCGUAAUUUUUUUAGAAAGUUCAUAUUAAAAAAAAAGAUUGCGACCUCGAUGUUGGAUUAAAAUAAAUUUUUGGUAUAGAAGCUAAAAUAUUAGGUCUGUUCGACCUUUAAAAUUUUA
rnacentral:rRNA from 1 species